AGCAGUUGGUUAGAGCAUCUGACUGUUAAUCAGAGGGUCCUUGGUUCGAGCCCAAGAGGAG
rnacentral:tRNA from 1 species